CACACCUCGUUCGUGCAUCACACGCCAAACCCUCAUAUGUACAACUCGUGUAUAUCACGUGCCAAACUCCCACCUCUCCUAUUCGACCACGUGUACUCACACGGCUUGUCCACAUGGAUUUUACUUGAACGCCAAACUCAAUAGUCCUUUACUGCCAUUUUAGGUUUGUUCUAUCGUCACGUGCACGGCUCUUGGGGCUCUCGUACACUUGCUUCCGUCGAUUGCACGCCACGUGUAGAACCACGUGCAAUGUUGUGAUGUCGGCUCAAAGUUUUUUAGUUUGGACACGUGCACGCCUCAUGUGACCACGUGCACCUGCUUGUGUCAGUCGCCUGCAUAGUGGCUAUAUCCGUGGAGAUUAGUUAAGGUUCGUCUUCGCCGCCAUUGGCUUGAAAGUGGAGUGCAUCUUUGGCUGUAGUGGGUGCGUAGAAACAGCAUGCAGUGGCAAUAAAUAACAAACUGAUCACAAACAUAAACCAAGUCAUGAACAUUUGUACAAUGUUAGAAAAACAUCAUCGUUUCAUUCAAGAAGAAAACAAGAAAAUUUGCGAACAAGAAGGAAUGGUAUGAAGAGUGACGUCACACGAUGAGUGCUUUCGUCUAAAUGGUCAUUAGAGGAUCGAUACGGGGUGCGCGGGCUAAAAUACUCACGCAAUAGAAAUAAUUGAGUUUUUACGCGCUACGAAAAACGAAGGAAAAGAGGAUCCUUUGCAAAGUCGCAUAAAAGUUCUCAACUAAUAUUGCGUUAAGUGGCCAAGGCGAGAAAACCAGCUAUUGAAUCGGACUUACAAAUAAUGGUAUUCAAUCGGUAGUCGAGUGAGAAGGGAAAUACAAAUUCAAAAAAUAUAUAUGUUUAAUAUGUAAUAACGUCACGUGAUCAGGGAUGUAGAGAUGUCACGUGAUGUGAGAUGUCGUGGCGCCACGUGAUGAGGGAUGUGGGACGUCACGUGGUCAGGGAUGGGAAGACAUCUCGUGAUAUGUGCUGUGGUGACGUUACGUGACGAGAGAUUUAAUGACAUCACGUGAUGAGGGCUGUGGUACGUCACGUGACGAGAGAUUUAGUGACGUCGCGUGAUGAGGGCUGUCGUACGUCACGUGACGAGAGAUUUAGUGACGUCACGUGAUGAAGUAUGUGGAGACGUCACGUGACAUUACAAAGCUUACGUAGUUAAAAGAUUUGAAUAAGGCAUGGGUGGAUGAGAUGGUGGAUGAUAAGACAUAGGAAAUACUGCAUGUAGCAGGCCGCCAAACAUCAUACGCGAGGUGAAAAUGAUAAGCGCGAGGCCAAAGCGAAGUCUGCAAGCCAGUCCUAGGCAUGCAGCGGCGUGACAACGACACAUAGCGUGACAGGGUGCGUGACAAGUUAUAUUUAGCAAUGGCUCUUGAAGGCGAAAACCACGACAAAGAUGAAAGAGCACAUGGAACAAGACCUCUUGGAUGCCGUUAGACGAAGCGGUUAGUCUCCGUGUGGUGGUAUUUAGUAUUUCUCAGAUGCAGACCUACUUUUCUUUUCCGGGGAUAUAGUUUAAACUGCACUAACGCAUAAGGAUCUAUCGCGCCAUGUGAUGUUACUUUAGUUGGAAACAGAGUAAUUUGUCGAUGGAAGUAUCUAAACCAGCCAUGCUUAGCGUUAUUAAUAGUAAUAAUAUUCUAGAAGCGUUAUAUCAUUGGCUUAGGAGUUAAUUGAUCGUUUUGUGUGUGUGUGUGUGUGGCAUUUAAACGUAAUAGUGUUGCGUGGUGUGGAUGUAAGAGUGUUGCGCGGCGUGGAUGUAAGAGUGUUGCGUGGCGUGGAUGUAAGAGUAUUGCGCGGUGUGGAUGUAAUAGUGUUGCGCGGCGUGGAUGUACUUACUACAGAAGCCACAAGACAAGGGACAGACUGACUCCAUGUAGCGACGGUGGAACUGACAGUAGCCUGACUGGGCGGCGUACACGGAGCAGUUCUCAAGAGUAUCCUGACAUGGGCUGAUCGUACGCUCUGCAAACAAAUCAAAGUAAUUUUGUGACGCCCUGGCGCAACGAUUAAUGGAACAUAUAAUGGACGAGGUCCUAGUUGUGGGAUCUAUGCUAUCUUGAUUUUUUUUAAAUAUUUUUUUCAGCUUUGCACGCGGUCGAGUCAUUUGAGAUGGAGAUGUGGUGGAAUCAUUCCGUUUGCUUUAAAGGCAGUUAUGCCUUCAAGGGCAGUUAUGCCUUCAAGGGCAGUUAUGCCUUCAAGGGCAGUUAUGCCUUCAAGGGCUAGUUAAUGUCAGCAUGCAUAUAUUUUGCAUUGUUGGCUCUAACUAGAGCCCCUGCAAAACAUAAUCAUAGUUCAUGGUUACCGCUAAUUCAAACUCGAACGGAUUUAUCAGAACGCAAGCUUGCCUUUCUGAAAUUCAGAAGUAACUAAAACCACAUAAUUUAGAAUAAAAUCCAAACCAAUUGCGAUCUAGAAGAAAUUAAUUGCAGAACCUGUAGCAUCAGUUGAAAUACAAGAAAUAACCUAAGCUUCCUGGUAACGAGAAGAGGGUUCCCAACUUACUUUCCUCGCAGGGGCCAGGUGUAAUGUCAGGACAUAUACACUCGAACUUCUCAUCUAAUGAGCGGCACGUGGCGCCAUCGUGACAUGGGUUGGUCACGCAGGGAUCCGCUAAAAUACAAAACGUCAUUAGUCUUGCAACACAAUGAUUAUUUCAUUAAAACAGGCUUCGACCAAAAA